UCCGCCUUGGUCUAGUGGUUAGGAUGUGUGACUCUCACUCACGCGGCCGGGGUUCGAUUCCCCGAGGCGGAG
rfam:Rhabditophanes sp. KR3021 genome assembly, scaffold: RSKR_contig0000296